ACUGAUUCCUGCAGUCGACGAUUCCUACGGGAGGCAGCAGUGGGGAAUCUUAGACAAUGGGGGAAACCCUGAUCUAGCCAUGCCGCGUGAGUGAUGAAGGCCUUAGGGUCGUAAAGCUCUUUCGCCAGGGAUGAUAAUGACAGUACCUGGUAAAGAAACCCCGGCUAACUCCGUGCCAGCAGCCGCGGUAAUACGGAGGGGGUUAGCGUUGUUCGGAAUUACUGGGCGUAAAGCGCGCGUAGGCGGAUUAGUCAGUCAGAGGUGAAAUCCCAGGGCUCAACCCUGGAACUGCCUUUGAUACUGCUAGUCUAGAGUUCGAGAGAGGUGAGUGGAAUUCCGAGUGUAGAGGUGAAAUUCGUAGAUAUUCGGAGGAACACCAGUGGCGAAGGCGGCUCACUGGCUCGAUACUGACGCUGAGGUGCGAAAGUGUGGGGAGCAAACAGGAUUAGAUACCCUGGUAGUCCACACCGUAAACGAUGAAUGCCAGUCGUCGGCAAGUAUACUUGUCGGUGACACACCUAACGGAUUAAGCAUUCCGCCUGGGGAGUACGGUCGCAAGAUUAAAACUCAAAUGAAUUGACGG
rnacentral:rRNA from 1 species